rnacentral:miRNA from 13 species
AGGGACGGGACGGGGCGCAGUGUU